AAGCUCGUAGUUGAAUUUCGGGAUUUAUCCGUCGGUCGGGCUUUUGGGUCUGUACUGGCGUGAUGGAUUCCUACCUUCUGAAUAACCGGCAUGUCAUUAAUUUGGUGCGCUGAGGAAGCAGGACUGUUACCUUGAAAAAAUUAGAGUGCUUAAAGCAGGCUAUUGCCUGAAUACAUUAGCAUGGAAUAAUGAAAUAGGACGGCAUGGUUCUAUUUUGUUGGUUUCUAGGAUCACCGUAAUGAUUAAUAGGGAUAGUUGGG
rnacentral:rRNA from 1 species